ACGACCUUACUUGAACAGGAUCUGUUCUAUAGGCUCGUACCAUUGUGUCCUUGAGUUCUAAGGAGACAAGAACCUAAGCCUGGUUGAUGAAUCAUGACCGUGUGAUCAGAGCGUGAUUAAUGGCUCUGAUGGGCUUCUCUUCUGAGAGUGUCAUCUGUUGCAAUGGAGGAUCGUUCUCAGACAGUGUUAAAACUGGCUGGGGGAUGGUUACACGGUUGUCUGACAGGUU
rfam:Lupinus angustifolius cultivar Tanjil chromosome LG10, whole genome shotgun sequence.